UUUGAAAUCUGUGUAAUGCUAUACCAAUUUAUAAAGGAUACAGGAUUUGAGGUGUGAUACUAAACUGUGAUCUAUAAUCUCUAAAAUACUAAUCUCCGAAUCACUGAGCCCCUGGCUCGCAGAAGAAACCUAAGAUAUGUUAAUUCAUUGUUGUCUGUAAUUCUCUCUUAAAUAAUAAUACCAUGGGGCAAAGAAAAGAGAAGGAGAAAACUGGAAACGAGGCAAAGUACCUGAAUGAAUCCAAGCAUUGCAAAGGAAAAUUAAAUAAAGAAGAAAAAUAACGAAUGGUAAAUUAAAAACAAAGAAGAAUAAGCACAGGAAAUGAAUGAAUUAAAGUAAAAAUAGCAAGUUGUGACACUAAAAAUUAAAAUUAAAUGGACCACCUAUAUAUGAGUGUAAGGAUUGAACCCAAGAUAGAGGGAGAAAGGCAUAUAUUGACGUAGCAACUAGAGUAUGAGAUGAACUGCAACUUAUACUUGUUUGACAACCAACCAUAACCUAAAAUAAUCUACACAAUGCUAAAAUCAUAAAUUAAAUCAUAACUAAGUGAUUUAAAUAAGAAAUGUUUCGAUUAUCGCGUUUUCUUCAAUUAAAACACAUAACCUAUAAAUUAAACAAGAUUUUUAGCAACAACCCCAAAAGAUGAAAUAAUAAUCCCUAAACGUAUAAAUAGGGGCCCUGCAGAUAUAUCACAAGCCCUCGAAGUUACAAUAAAACGAGAUAAAUGAUUCUUAAAAGAUUAAUUAAUAAUAAAAUUUAAAUA